rnacentral:rRNA from 1 species
AGAGUUUGAUCCUGGCUCAGGACGAACGCUGGCGGCGUGCCUAAUACAUGCAAGUCGAGCGGAGCUUAUCCUUCGGGGUAAGCUUAGCGGCGGACGGGUGAGUAACACGUAGGCAACCUACCCCCUAGACUGGGAUAACUACCGGAAACGGUAGCUAAUACCGGAUAACUUCUUUUCUCUCCUGAGGGAAGAAUAAAAGG